rnacentral:rRNA from 1 species
AGAGUUUGAUCAUGGCUCAGAAUCAACGCUGGCGGCGUGCCUAACACAUGCAAGUCGAGCGAGAAAGGGGCUUCGGCCCUGAGUAAAGCGGCGCACGGGUGAGUAACACGUGGGUAAUCUGCCCUCGAGUGGGGAAUAACACCGGGAAACCGGUGCUAAUACCGCAUACGAUCACGAUGUCUUCGGAUGUUGUGAUGAAAGGAGCAAUUCGCUCUUGGAGGAGCCCGCGGCUGAUUAGCUAGUUGGUGAGGUAAUGGCUCACCAAGGCUGCGAUCAGUAGCCGGUCUGAGAGGACGGUCGGCCACACUGGAACUGAGACACGGUCCAGACUCCUACGGGAGGCAGCAGUGGGGAAUUUUUCGCAAUGGGGGCAACCCUGACGAAGCAACGCCGCGUGGGUGAUGAAGUAUCUCGGUACGUAAAACCCUUUCGACGGGGAAGAAAACCGCAAGGUUUGACGGUACCCGUAGAAGAAGCCCCGGCUAACUCCGUGCCAGCAGCCGCGGUAAUACGGGGGGGGCAAGCGUUGUUCGGAAUUACUGGGCGUAAAGGGCGCGUAGGCGGUUUGUUAAGUUGAAUGUGAAAACUCUGGGCUUAACCCAGAGCCUGCAUUCAAUACUGGCAGGCUAGAGUUCUGGAGGGGAUAGCGGAAUUCCUGGUGUAGCGGUGAAAUGCGUAGAUAUCAGGAGGAACACCGGUGGCGAAGGCGGCUAUCUGGACAGAGUCUGACGCUGAGGCGCGAAAGCUAGGGGAGCAAACAGGAUUAGAUACCCUAGUAGUCC